GGUAAAUGUUUCAUGAUAAGAAUAUCAUGUAUUUUGUAUUAAAGAAUUAAAUGGAUGAAAUAUGAAGUUUUAUUAAAAGAAAAAGGGGUGAAAAGAACAAAGUUUUGUCCAUCUUUGUUCAUCAUAGCUGAAAGUUAGAGAAGAGAAAGGAGAGGAGAAAGCUCUUGAGUAUUUGGUCAUUAGGAGGAGGAAAAUUGAAGGCAGUUCGUGUGUGGAUCUCGUCAGCAUAUCGUCGCAAACAGGUGUGUAACUAAUACCCUCUUUCUUAGUCUAGAUCGGCAAAAGCCAAAAAGCCGAAAUGCCGAAAACUGGUAUUUUGUAGAUUUGCGAGUGUACGAGUGCUCGUGAGGUAAAUCGAUUAAUGUUUUUGGUAAGCUGCAAUGUUUGGACUGCAAAGUGCAUGAUUUCUAUGCCCUCGAUAUUUUUGGGCUUAAUGGGCCAAAAUUGGAAUGAUGGGCCAACGGGCCCAAUUCGGUAAGAACCCUCGAUACGUGAUUCUGUUAGUACGUGAAAAGUAGGAAUAUGCAUGAAAAACCCUAAAAUAGAUAAAUUACUGAAAUACCUUUAAAAGUGGAAAAUUUACGCUUUUACCCUAGUAGAUAAAUUACCAAAUACCCCUAGGGUUAAAUUGACCUAAAUGCAUGUUUGAUUGUUGUUAUUUAUCGCAUGCCAUGUUGUUAUUAUCGAUGCAUGGGACCGGGAUAUUGACGGAGGAAGUCUUGAAAGUGGCUUGUCCACAUCUUGGAGGCUUUGCCUCAAUUUAUCGAUAAUCGAAGCAAUCUUUGCAUGCCGCAACUGUGGAGUGUUGGGCUGGGUGGGUUGAGCUAUCCCCACAUGGAGUGUAUGGCUGGUACGGGUGGAGUGUAGUGGUUGGUGGGUUGAGUAGUCUCCCCAAAUGGGUUUGCAUAUGUUAUUGAUGUUGCAUGUAUUUUGAAAUGGGCCUAUGGGCCAUACUGUUAUCUGAAUAAGGGACUAAGGCCCAGUUUAUUGUAAUCUGAAAAAGGGCUCUGGCCCAGUACCACUGUUACCCAAAUGGGCUUGCAUAUGUUUACUGAUGUUGCAUGUAUUUUGAAAUGGGCCUAUGGGCCAUACUGUUAUCUGAAUAAGGGGCUAAGGCCCAGUUUAUUAUAAUCUGAAAGGGCUCGCCCAAGAUAUCACAUUACUGAAUGGGCUUAGACCCAAUGGGGUCGAGUGACUUGGACUUUGAAUGGGUUUUCCUUACACCGAGUUUCCCCAAACUCACCCCUUUUAUUUUCAUCCACGCAGAAAUCCCCAACCAUAGUGGGCUUGGAGUGUGAGGGAAUUGAGAGUGGCCACCCGCUCGAAAAUUUGAUUUUCUUCCGUGAACUGGACAUCCUUUUAAUUACGUUUGAGGUUUUGGGCUUUUAAAUGUAAUAAGGCCGCUUAUUUAUUUUUUAUGGUUUUAAUAUGUACUACUAAGAUAGGUAUUACUUAUUUUAACUGUUGAAACUGGAUAGCUUUAGGGCACGUUUUCAAAAACAACAGUUGAUUUCAAAAUAACACGACAACAAGCAAAGCUUCCGCAAUGAAAGUAUUUUCCAAAAUUAAUCACUUUUCCUAAAAAUAAAUUAAUCAAAUCGGUUUCUUAGAAAUAUCCAUGACGUUAAGGUGUGGCAAUGGCAGUAUGCAUGUCUAGGAUUGGAUCCGAAGGGAGCUUGGUACUUAAGCAGUCCGAUGGACUCACCACCUCUUUUACGGUUUCUUACCUGGUGCACAGCUUCCAUUCACUUUAACCCUUAAUGAAUUAAUCUUUUGAACAUUAAGUACGAUUUUCUGGACUUAGAAUGGAUUUUUUUUAACGUUUUUGAUGUGGCAUGGCGGAUCCGGCCAUAACUUUUGGGCCGGGUUUGGGGUGCUACAGAUGAUGUGUGUAAAGUGUGUCAACUUGGAAAACAAGCCAGACAGCCAUUUCCUGCAAAAUCAAGCUAGAGAGCUUCAGAUAAGCUGCAGCUAGUACACACUGAUGUGCGUGGCCCGAUGAAGACUCAGUCAUUGAAUGGCAGUAGGUAUUUCAUUCUUUUCAUUGAUGAUUUUUCAAGAUACUGUUGGAUUUACUUCUUGAAGAACAAGUCAGAGGUAGCUUCUGUAUUUUUGAAGUUUAAAGCUGUUGUAGAGACUAAAGCAGGCUGUAAGCUAAAGACCUUGAGGUCAAACAAUGGGACUGAUUAUACUUCAUCUGGGUUUAAUACCUUUUGUGAUGAAGCAGACAUUAAACACUAGCUCACCAACACUUAUACACCUCAAUAAAAUGGUGUAAGUGAAAGGAAGAAUAGGAGCUUGAUGGAUAUGGCCAGAUGCUUACUGUUUGAGAAGAAUUUACCCAAGACCAUGUAGGCUGAAGCAGUCAAUACUGCUAUCUAUAUUCAGAAUAGGCUACCAACCAAAGCAGUGGAGCACAAGACUCCAUUUGAUGCCUGGUUUGGGUUCAAGACUUCACUGGCUCACCUGAGAGUAUUUGGUUGUUUGUGUUAUGCUCAAGUACCAGCUGUUAAAAGAAGCAAGCUGGAUAAGAAAACUCAAGCAGGCAUUCUAGUUGGCUAUAGCUCAGUCAAAAAGGGCUUCAGGAUCCUUGAUCCUUCAACAAACAAAGUAAUGGUGAGCAGUAAUGUUGUGUUCAAUGAGAAAGCAUGCUGGAAUGGGGACAAAAUGAGUCGGUCAUUUACGAAGAAUUUGUGGUGAUCGACCGAACUCGAUCAAAAUAGUCCAGGAAUGGACAUUGAUGAUGAACUAGUCAGGGGCACUAGACCUUUGGCUAAAAUUUAUGAAAGAGCACUUAUGGCUACAGUUGAACCAAGUAGUUUUGAAGAGGCUGAGGGACACCAAGGCUGGAAACAGGCUAUGGCUGAUGAAAUUGCUAUGAUUGAGAAGAACCAGAAUUGGGAGUUAGUUGCAAGACCAGCCAACAGGAAAGUCAUUGGGGGUAAAAUGGGUCUAUAGAACCAAGCAUAAUGCUGAUUGUAGCGAUGUAAAAAUUUCUCUAAUUGAGGCAAUUAUUUGAAAAUUUGAAAAUGGAAUUUCGGUUUUAAAAAGAAAA